rnacentral:lncRNA from 1 species
AAUAGACAGCGCAUUUUAGAGGGCGCUUUUGUAACAAAGCGCCCUCUAAAGUGAAGCGAAAAAAUAAUGAGGAAAUGAAGGGACACCAAUAGAGGGCGCGUUUAUGAAAGCGCCCUCUAAGGUGGCCCUUAGAGGGCGCUUUUAAAAAAGAGCUCUCUAAGUCCAUGUACAUUUCCAGUUUAUAAGGCGCUUUUGGAAAGCUUGAGAGGGCGCUUUUGUAACGAAGCGCUCUCUAAAGUGAAGCGAAAAAAUAAUGAGGAAAUGAAGGGACACCAAUAGAGGGCGCGUUUAUGAAAGUGCCCUCUAAGGGUACCCUUAGAGGGCGCUUUUAAAAAAGCGCUCUCUAAGUCCAUGUACAUUUCCAGUUUAUAAGGCGCUUUUGGAAAGCUUUAGAGGGCGCUUUUG